CGAAGUAGGAAUCUAUGCGUUAAGUGUUCAUUGGAUGGGGAGUCGCCGUGAAACGAAAAGUUUCCCCGCAGACAUUGCGCGGAGGAAGCUUACGAUAUAUUUUCCGCACCCGUUG
rnacentral:ncRNA from 1 species